UUCGAGUGAUGAGACGGUUCUCCAUAUCCUGUGGCAGUGCCCUUUAGCACGAAAUGUAUGGGCUCUUGUCAAAGGAAAAUUGCAGAAGAGUGACUCCUCGGCUAGGACGUUCUUCAGCUUAGCCCAAUCUUUAAAGGGAAGGUUGUCCCGCAAAGAAUUUGAGUUGUGGGCCAUGGUGACAUGGUCCAUAUGGAACGCGUGAAAUAGAUUUUACUUUGAAGCGUCUCAAACCCCGCCGCAUGCAAUACUCAAGAGUGCAGAAACGUUAUUGGACGAAUACCAACGUUUCACUCGUAGCAGGCCUACCAUCUGAGCACCUGAGUGUGCUACCCUCACUUUUGUGAUUCUUGCAUACAUUUUACUUUAUAGUUUUAUUUUCCUUUUGAUUUAUAGUUUUCUUUUCCUUUUGAUUGUAUUGACUGUUGGGGUCUGGUCUGUGGGAGCCACCCCUACAGCAGACUUUGUACUCCUUCAGUUUUUUUAAUAUACUUCUAUCUAUUUUCAAAAUAAAAUAAAAAACUUCUGUCCGGAGGUGCCGAAAAAAAAGUGAUUUACGCCACCCAAUUAAUGAAAGCCACGUCAUUAUUUUACAGAAAAAUCAAUACACCCCAGCACACACAAUCAUAACUCAUUAAAUCUACAAUCAUCCUCACACACGAUAGUUUCAGAUCUGGAGAGCUAAACCCCAAAUCUCCUCUCCUCCUCUCUUCUUAGCACCGGAGCUCUACGCCGCCACAUACACCGCCGCACGCGUCCUUCCUGCGUCUGAAAAUUAUGUCGGAGCCUUCGCAAGUGUGGUGUCACUACCUCAAGCUGUGAUGCAGAUAGAUGGUUUUGAAUACUUCAAAGGAAAACUGCCCUACUGUCUUGAAUGAAUUCUUGGAGUAUGUGGCUAAGAUUAGUGCACAAUCUGUCAUCCAACGGCGGCAUGGAAAUGAAUCCUAAAAAUCCUGUUUUUUGGAGAGCAAUUGAAUCAUCAAAACUUUCUGAAACUUUCAUAUUAAUGUAUUGUGAAUUAGAAACUUUUAGAAAGAAUUGUGAUAGGUUCUAUUUAAAUAUAUUUCCAAUCGUAUGAUCCUCUUUUGUAUACUGAAACCGCGACAGGUUUUAUUGCAAAUGUAUUUGCAAUCCUGUGAUCCUCUUUUUGUACAAUAUAUCACGACAGCUUUCAUUUCAAAUGUAUUUCCAAUCUUGUGAUCUU